UACGUAGGGUGCGAGCGUUGUCCGGAAUUACUGGGCGUAAAGAGCUCGUAGGCGGUUUGUCGCGUCGGCCGUGAAAUCUCCACGCUUAACGUGGAGCGUGCGGUCGAUACGGGCAGACUUGAGUUCGGUAGGGGAGACUGGAAUUCCUGGUGUAGCGGUGAAAUGCGCAGAUAUCAGGAGGAACACCGGUGGCGAAGGCGGGUCUCUGGGCCGAUACUGACGUGAGGAGCGAAAGCGUGGGGAGCGAACAGG
rnacentral:rRNA from 1 species